UACGAGGGGGGCGAGCGUUGUUCGGAAUUAUUGGGCGUAAAGGGUGCGUAGGCGGGUUGGUAAGUCCGCUGUGAAAGCCCGGAGCUUAACUCCGGAGGGUCGGUGGAUACUGCCAGUCUUGAAGGUGCUAGGGGGAGAUGGAAUUACCGGUGUAGCGGUGAAAUGCGUAGAGAUCGGUAGGAACACCAGUGGCGAAGGCGGUCUCCUGGGGCAUUCUGGACGCUGAGGCGCGAAAGCUGGGGGAGCGAACGGG
rnacentral:rRNA from 1 species